rnacentral:rRNA from 1 species
GAGUUUGAUCCUGGCUCAGGACGAACGCUGGCGGCGUGCUUAACACAUGCAAGUCGAACGCUGAAGCUUGGUGCUUGCACUGGGUGGAUGAGUGGCGAACGGGUGAGUAAUACGUGAGUAACCUGCCCUUGACUCUGGGAUAAGCCUGGGAAACUGGGUCUAAUACUGGAUACGACAUGUCACCGCAUGGUGGUGUGUGGAAAGGGUUUUACUGGUUUUGGAUGGGCUCACGGCCUAUCAGCUUGUUGGUGGGGUAAUGGCUCACCAAGGCGACGACGGGUAGCCGGCCUGAGAGGGUGACCGGCCACACUGGGACUGAGACACGGCCCAGACUCCUACGGGAGGCAGCAGUGGGGAAUAUUGCACAAUGGGCGGAAGCCUGAUGCAGCGACGCCGCGUGAGGGAUGACGGCCUUCGGGUUGUAAACCUCUUUCAGCACGGAAGAAGCGAAAGUGACGGUACGUGCAGAAGAAGCGCCGGCUAACUACGUGCCAGCAGCCGCGGUAAUACGUAGGGCGCAAGCGUUGUCCGGAAUUAUUGGGCGUAAAGAGCUCGUAGGCGGUUUGUCGCGUCUGCUGUGAAAGCCCGGGGCUUAACCCCGGGUGUGCAGUGGGUACGGGCAGACUUGAGUGCAGUAGGGGAGACUGGAAUUCCUGGUGUAGCGGUGAAAUGCGCAGAUAUCAGGAGGAACACCGAUGGCGAAGGCAGGUCUCUGGGCUGUUACUGACGCUGAGGAGCGAAAGCAUGGGGAGCGAACAGGAUUAGAUACCCUGGUAGUCCAUGCCGUAAACGUUGGGCACUAGGUGUGGGGAACAUUCCACGUUUUCCGCGCCGUAGCUAACGCAUUAAGUGCCCCGCCUGGGGAGUACGGCCGCAAGGCUAAAACUCAAAGGAAUUGAC